rnacentral:misc_RNA from 1 species
GUGAUUUCAUCUUAACCAUAGAUGUUACUGUGCCAAUAAAAUAUGUAAAAUUACAUAAAUCAGUUCUUAGGUGAACAUUGCAAUAUUUUAGUUAGUUCAAUCGUCUAGGUAACAACAUAUACAAGUGCUUCCAGCUUCUGGAUUACUCCAUUAGAAAAUAUAGAUGAGGAAGUGAUUAGUGUGGAAGAGGUGUGCCUACACUCCAGGAAGGGAGAAGAUGGUUCAAUGGUCUUUUACUUUAUGGUGAUAGGAAUUACUAUCAAUUUUCUAUAAAUAGCAUGGAGAGUCAAAUAUGGGAUUUGCUAUGGCGAUCUUUUAUGUUUGUGUGAAGCCAAUCUUGCUGGUGCAUGCAAAUUUCUUUCUACUCUUGUUUUCAAAUGAAUUCUGUUGAGCUAAUCUUAUUACUCAUCUUGUUUGUAAUAUGGAUGUAGCUUGAGAGUAGAAUUCAGAGUUUGCUUUUACGAUCUUUUGUAUGGCUAAUUCUUUGAACUCUAUUGUGCAUCUCGUUUAUGUUGGACAUUUUUAAUAAAUUGUUCCCCACAUCUUUCAAGUGUACACGAAGGCUUCGGUAAUUGUGCACCUAACAUGUUCAAGAACUAUUAUCAUAGUUAUUUCAUUGGAGUUGGUCUAGGCUUUUUAGGUGGUGAUGACACAUGAUAUAUAAUUUUAACCAUUGUAUGGGCCAGGGUGAUGAACCAUGUCAAGUAAUAUAAUGUUGGGUGAAUU